rnacentral:rRNA from 1 species
ACUCCUACGGGAGGCAGCAGUGGGGAAUAUUGCACAAUGGGGAAACCCUGAUGCAGCCAUGCCGCGUGUGUGAAGAAGGCCUUCGGUUGUAAAGCACUUUCAGUAGGGAGGAAGGUAGUGUAGUUAACACCUGCAUUAUUUGACGUUACCUACAGAAGAAGCACCGGCUAACUCCGUGCCAGCAGCCGCGGUAAUACGGAGGGGUGCGAGCGUUAAUCGGAAUUACUGGGCGUAAAGCGCAUGCAGGCGGCCUGUUAAGUCAGAUGUGAAAGCCCGGGGGCUUAACCUCGGAAUUGCAUUUGAAACUGGCAGGCUAGAGUCUUGUAGAGGGGGUAGAAUUUCAGGUGUAGCGGUGAAAUGCGUAGAGAUCUGAAGGAAUACCAGUGGCGAAGGCGGCCCCCUGGACAAAGACUAGACGCUCAGAUGCGAAAGCGUGGGGAGCGAAACAGGAUUAGAUACCCUGGUAGGAUAGCG